rnacentral:rRNA from 1 species
UUCUAGGAGGCUUGACAGGAUAGAGCUCUUUCUUGAUUCGGUGGAUGGUGGUGCAUGUCCGUUCUCAGUUGGUGGAGCGAUUUGUCUGGUUAAUUCCGAUAACGAACGAGACUCUAGCCUAUUAAAUAGGUGCGUGGUUCUCUGCCACUUGCACCCCUCUUUGAGGGACAAGCGGCUCCUAGCCGCACGAAACAGAGCAAUAACAGGUAUGUGAUGCCCUUAGAU